rnacentral:sRNA from 1 species
GACCCGUGAAUCGGCGUGCACUGCAUUGU